rnacentral:rRNA from 1 species
AUGGAUCCGAGUGGUUUCAGCAGUGCCCGAAUACAUCCACAUCGGAUGGUCACGAGCUUGAAGCGGUUGAAUGCGUCGCCUGAGGAAGACCUCCAGCAAAUCCAUACCGGUUACCCCAUCACGGACAAGUUGAACUACUCGAUCGACCAGCACCUUCACUCGUCCCUUCUCCUCCGGGAUCACCUUCAAGGUGGAAGGCUUCCCCACUCGGGCCAUGGAAAAAGGGGGAAGUCCAGUCGACUGACCUGGAGUUGGCUGAUCUUUGCAGUAGAACCAGGUCGACUGCCACCCUCGGACCGACUCCGGAAGGAUCAUGGCUGGGAAGGAACUUUUACCCCUCAUCUGAAUCCCGAGACCCGCACACAUCUGGAUCACUUUUGUCUUCUCGUCACUCGGAUUGGCCUUUUUGACCGACUGGGAGCGACGUGUGAAAAUGUGCUUGAAGAGGCCUCAGUGGGGUCGGCAACCCAAGAAAUUUUCGCACAGAGACACGAAAGCACCAAGAUAUACGAUGGUGUUUGGAGUAAAGUGGUGGAGUUGCGCCCCAAAGAAGUUCAAGAAACCUCGAAAGAAAGGGUGGGGAGGCAAGGAGAACCCGUGGUCGAUGUGAGUAGCCAGGAGAACGCACUCACCCUCCUGCGGCUGCGGCUCGGUCUCGUUCCCCGGAAGUCGUGCCGAUUCGUGAGGGAUCAGUCCCCCCUUGACCAAGUCGUCGAUGUCAUCCUGACGGAUCGCCGAGCGAAUCCAGUCGCCCUGGAUCCAUCCCGGCGGCAGGCCGGACCUCGAGGAAGAUGCGCCCCAGCUGGACUUCUUCCCCUUCGCCUUCGUCGUCGCCUUCUUCGCACGCUCCAGUGCCACCGUCUUCUCCUUCCCCAUCGCGGCGAGCAGAGCUCGAAAGGGGAGGCGGCGGCGCUGGCGCAGGAGCGGAUGCAGCGGAGAAAACUGAGAGGAAAAGAGAAGAAUGAAGACGCACUGUUCAAAAAACCCUGA